GGAGCGGAUAUUUUUGGGGGAAAGAUAGUAGAAGGCAAAUAUCCCUGCUUCUCUUCUUCUUUCCUCUUGUUAUUCAGAAUGCCAAUUCGGGGGAUAUUACUAGCACUCAAGUUUUGAGUGAUAUCACCGCUCUUUUUGUGCAAAAAUAAAGUUCUAAUUCCAUCAACGAGAAAUCGAUUCAAUCAGAAAGUCAAUCUAGGUUGUCUCUUCUUGAGAUGCUCUCUGGUCGUAUGCGUAUUGUUCUAUUAUGUUGUUUUAUGUUGUUAUGUCUUCGUUGGCAUGUGUUCUAAGGCCAUCUAUUUCAUCAGCAAGUUAACAAGUCGAUUCUAUCUGCAAGCUUUGAGAUGGAUUUCAUCGGCACGCUAGUUUGGGGAUUUCGACGUGAUUUAGGGCUGAUCUCAUCUCCCAAAAACUUGUAGGGUGAGUAGUUGAUAGCAAAUAUAUAAUCCACCAGGGCAUUCAAACUUUGGGUAUUCCGUCUUUAGAAAGGAUAAAGCAAGGUGCAUCUAAUCUAACGUAUAUUCUCCGGUACAUGCGAGUAGUGAACGAGCUAUGUGAGGCCAAAAUCUUCUACAUUCCUCUAGUUCAACUUAUGUACAAUUCUUGAAAAGUUUGAAUGUGCAGGAAAUUGCGGAUAAUGUAAUUUAAAAUGGUGGCCCCAAGUCAAUUUGAUCUAUUGAAGUGAAUAUUGAAGACUUUUGGAACAAUUGUGAUGUUUGAAUAUAUUGGACGUUGUAGAGUUUAUUGCUAGUAUACAUCUUUAAAUAUUUCCUUGUUAGUAUGUGUACUACAAUAAAUAUGUUUAUUUUUAAAAGUUUAUUGCAAAUAUAUACAUAUGAAUUAUUAUUUUAA